CCUACGGGUGGCAGCAGUGAGGAAUAUUGGUCAAUGGACGAGAGUCUGAACCAGCCAAGUAGCGUGAAGGAUGACUGCCCUAUGGGUUGUAAACUUCUUUUAUAUGGGAAUAAAAUGCUCCACGUGUGGGAUUUUGUAUGUACCAUAUGAAUAAGGAUCGGCUAACUCCGUGCCAGCAGCCGCGGUAAUACGGAGGAUCCGAGCGUUAUCCGGAUUUAUUGGGUUUAAAGGGAGCGUAGGUGGAUUGUUAAGUCAGUUGUGAAAGUUUGCGGCUCAACCGUAAAAUUGCAGUUGAAACUGGCAGUCUUGAGUACAGUGGAGGUGGGCGGAAUUCGUGGUGUAGCGGUGAAAUGCUUAGAUAUCACGAAGAACUCCGAUUGCGAAGGCAGUUCACUGGACUGCAACUGACACUGAGGCUCGAAAGUGUGGGUAUCAAACAGGAUUAGAUACCCUAGUAGUC
rnacentral:rRNA from 1 species